rfam:Oryza sativa (indica cultivar-group) chromosome 4, whole genome shotgun sequence.
AAAAAAACAAACCCUGGUUUCCGUCCAACGUUUGACCGUCCGUCUUAUUUAAAAAAAUUAUGAAAAAAUUAAAAAGACAAUUCACGCAUAAAAUAUUAAUCAUGUUUUAUCAUCUAACAACAAUGAAAAUACAAAUUAUAAAAAAAUUUCAUAUAAGACGGACAGUCAAAGUUGGACACGGAAACCCAGAGUUUUGCCUUUU